rnacentral:rRNA from 1 species
GACGGGGGGGGCAAGCGUUGUUCGGAAUUACUGGGCGUAAAGGGCUCGUAGGCGGCCAACUAAGUCAGACGUGAAAUCCCUCGGCUUAACCGGGGAACUGCGUCUGAUACUGGAUGGCUAGAGGUUGGGAGAGGGAUGCGGAAUUCCAGGUGUAGCGGUGAAAUGCGUAGAUAUCUGGAGGAACACCGGUGGCGAAGGCGGCAUCCUGGACCAAUUCUGACGCUGAGACUCGAAAGCAUGGGGAGCAAACAGG